rnacentral:rRNA from 1 species
ACAGGUGGUGCAUGGCUGUCGUCAGCUCGUGUCGUGAGAUGUUGGGUUAAGUCCCGCAACGAGCGCAACCCUCGUUUUUAGUUGCCAGCAUUCAGUUGGGCACUCUAAAGAGACUGCCGGUGACAAACCGGAGGAAGGUGGGGAUGACGUCAAGUCAGCAUGCCCCUUACGUCUUGGGCUACACACGUACUACAAUGCUACGGACAAAGGGCAGCUACACAGCGAUGUGAUGCAAAUCCAAAAAACCGUAGCUCAGUUCAGAUCGCAGGCUGCAACUCGCCUGCGUGAAGGAGGAAUCGCUAGUAAUUGCAGGUCAGCAUACUGCAGUGAAUUCGUUCCCGGGCCUUGUACACACCGCCCGUCACACCA